GGGUUUACUCAUUGGUCAGGCUUAAUUGUCUGUACUGGUGAAAUGAAUCUCUACCUUCCGAGAAACUUUCAUGUCAUUUAUUUGGUGUGAUGGGAAAUCAGGACUGUUACUUUGAAAAAAUUAGAGUGUUUAAAGCAGGCUAACGUCUGAAUACAUUAGCAUGGAAUAAUGAAAUAGGACGGACUGAUUCUAUUUCGUUGGUUUCUAGGAUCACCGUA
rnacentral:rRNA from 1 species